rnacentral:rRNA from 1 species
UACGUAGGGUGCAAGCGUUGUCCGGAAUUAUUGGGCGUAAAGAGCUCGUAGGCGGUUUGUCGCGUCUGCUGUGAAAACCCGAGGCUCAACCUCGGGCCUGCAGUGGGUACGGGCAGACUAGAGUGCGGUAGGGGGAGAAUGGAAUUCCUGGUGUAGCGGUGGAAUGCGCAGAUAUCAGGAGGAACACCAAUGGCGAAGGCAGAUCUCUGGGCCGUAACUGACGCUGAGGAGCGAAAGCAUGGGGGAGCGAACAGG